UCCUGUGUGGCUCAGUUGGUAGAGCAUGGCACUUACAAUGCCAGGAUCUUAGGUUUGAUUCCCACUGGGG
rnacentral:tRNA from 1 species